GGGAAGUGAUCAGGUGAUGACAUUAAUCCGCCAACGAUCUCGACUACAACAGUAGCCUGACUGUCAACGCUACGGCCAUCAUGAAGGUUUCGAUGUUAACAAUCCUUAUCGGUCUAGUUUCUGCGAUAUCAGCUGCUCCUCAGUUUGGCUUCAACAACGAGCAGCCCACACCAUACAGCUUCGCCUAUGGCGUCAAUUCCCCUGAAACCGGCGACGUCAAAGAACACAAAGAAACUGUAUCACCUUCAGGCGUCACCGAAGGUGAAUACAGGUGGCUCCAGCCUAAUGGACUCUUCAGAGUGACUCGGUACACCGCUGACAAUGGAGGAUACCGCGCAGUUGUUAGUGAAGAGGCAGGAACACCAGUCGCCACAUACUACACCAACAGUCUCCAGGGCUCAGGGUCUUCACAGGGGUCAAUUACCACCAGUUUCCAGUCAAACAACCAGGGCUUCAGCAGCUUCCAGCCUGGCAAUCUAGUCAUCGCCAGGGCACAGAACUUCCAAAACCAGGCCUUCGCAAACUCGCCCAACUUCCAAAACCAAGAAUUUAGGGGCUUCCAGAUCCAAGGUUUCAGGACCCCACAAAACGUCUUCCAACGUGAUUCCAGCAACAUUCAGUCGUUCCAGAAUCAAGGUUUCUCUGGCUCGCAAGCUUUCCAGAACCAAAGGAACGUGAUUGACGGAGGUUUCCAGAAUCAAAGAAGCGUGAUUGACGGAGGAAUUAUUGACGGUGGAAUUAUUGAUGGAGGUAUCACUAGUACCACUACUAAUUCCUUUGGCUCUGGUUUCAACCGAUUCGGAUCUAAUCUAAACAACUUCAACACAAAUUUGAACAAUAAUUUUAGGCCUUCUUUCGGUAAUGUCAAUAGGUUUGGGAACUCAGGUUUUACCAAUGGCAACUUUAAUAACCGUGGUACGGCCGUAGUACUAUCAUCGAACCAAAAUAGAUUCUUUGUCUAAUUGCUUUCCAGUUUAGCACUGAAGAAUAACGCUGUUCCCGAUUUCUCAUGCAAACGAAUGUUUUCCUAUAUUUAUGGAGGUAUCUGAAUAAAUUAUACAGUCCACAA